GGGUUGUGAGGUUAAGCGACUAAGCGUACACGGUGGAUGCCCUGGCAGUCAGAGGCGAUGAAGGACGUGCUAAUCUGCGAUAAGCGUCGGUAAGGUGAUAUGAACCGUUAUAACCGGCGAUUUCCGAAUGGGGAAACCCAGUGUGUUUCGACACACUAUCAUUAACUGAAUCCAUAGGUUAAUGAGGCGAACCGGGGGAACUGAAACAUCUAAGUACCCCGAGGAAAAGAAAUCAACCGAGAUUCCCCCAGUAGCGGCGAGCGAACGGGGAGGAGCCCAGAGCCUGAAUCAGUGUGUGUGUUAGUGGAAGCGUCUGGAAAGGCGCGCGAUACAGGGUGACAGCCCCGUACACAAAAAUGCACAUGCUGUGAGCUCGAUGAGUAGGGCGGGACACGUGGUAUCCUGUCUGAAUAUGGGGGGACCAUCCUCCAAGGCUAAAUACUCCUGACUGACCGAUAGUGAACCAGUACCGUGAGGGAAAGGCGAAAAGAACCCCGGCGAGGGGAGUGAAAAAGAACCUGAAACCGUGUACGUACAAGCAGUGGGAGCACGCUCAGGCGUGUGACUGCGUACCUUUUGUAUAAUGGGUCAGCGACUUAUAUUCUGUAGCAAGGUUAACCGAAUAGGGGAGCCGAAGGGAAACCGAGUCUUAACUGGGCGUUAAGUUGCAGGGUAUAGACCCGAAACCCGGUGAUCUAGCCAUGGGCAGGUUGAAGGUUGGGUAACACUAACUGGAGGACCGAACCGACUAAUGUUGAAAAAUUAGCGGAUGACUUGUGGCUGGGGGUGAAAGGCCAAUCAAACCGGGAGAUAGCUGGUUCUCCCCGAAAGCUAUUUAGGUAGCGCCUCGUGAAUUCAUCUCCGGGGGUAGAGCACUGUUUCGGCAAGGGGGUCAUCCCGACUUACCAACCCGAUGCAAACUGCGAAUACCGGAGAAUGUUAUCACGGGAGACACACGGCGGGUGCUAACGUCCGUCGUGAAGAGGGAAACAACCCAGACCGCCAGCUAAGGUCCCAAAGUCAUGGUUAAGUGGGAAACGAUGUGGGAAGGCCCAGACAGCCAGGAUGUUGGCUUAGAAGCAGCCAUCAUUUAAAGAAAGCGUAAUAGCUCACUGGUCGAGUCGGCCUGCGCGGAAGAUGUAACGGGGCUAAACCAUGCACCGAAGCUGCGGCAGCGACGCUUAUGCGUUGUUGGGUAGGGGAGCGU
rnacentral:rRNA from 1 species